rnacentral:lncRNA from 1 species
AGCGAUCUCUUUUUAGUUUGAAUUUCAAGCAGGCACUCUUCCCAUCAAAAGAAGAAGAGUUCUUACAACCCCAAAUUCCAAUGGUCAGAGAACACAGAAGUACAGCCACCAACAACACAUUGCUGAUCCCAAAGGGCUUUUGUUCCUCCCAGAGAAGCCACUGUUGGGGACAGGGAACUGUAAUGUCACAGGACCCUCCCCAGAUUACCAAAGACUUCCCACUCCAAGGACCUCAACACAAGAAACAGGCAUCUCAGCACAGAGUGGACCACUGGCGACAAGAACACAGAGGGGCUCUUGGACCAAAAUCCAAACCAGACCACAGCCAGUCUCAAAUCCACUGGGCUGAGAGUCCUGACCUGCUCCUUAGUGAGGAGGACGCAGAGACCAACAUCAGGACAACCCCUAUUGUCUCCGCUUGUGGGGAUCACCGGUCAACUGUCAUAAGAGUGACCCCUUCCAAGAAGUACUGUGGACAGUGCCCAGAAGUCUCCAGUUAGCGAAGAGCUGUUGUUCCACGCACGUGCCUGGGCUAGCAGACCCUCCCUGACAAUUACAGUCAAGAUCCCAGUGCCAAGAAGGAGCAAAACCAGUAACCCCACAGGGAAGUUGAUAUAAGAUUACUCAAUGUGGGAGCCAGUAGUGCUGUUCACCAAACAUUUCCAGAUCUCCUCCUUUCUGGGCACGUGGUAAGACUGCACUUCCCUGAAUCCUUGGAGUUAGAUGCCGCCGUGGGACUUGCUCUGACCAAUGAAAUGAUGAUGAGAGGAGACAAGUACAAGCACACCAGAAGAACCCAGUGAUGGCCUAAGCAGGGGAGGCCAAAAUCCUGCCCAGGAAGAAUCACAACCACCUUAGCCCCAGGCCAGACUACCAGGUAGCUCUGGAGAAGCCUAAGAGGUCUGGCAAGGUUGGGAAUAAUUAUCAACAGAGCUCAGUCAUCAGUGACAAGAAGUGGACUGGGGCCUUAGAGUAACUGAGAUUCUAAAAAUGGUGUUUAAAGAGAUUCGGGUUCCAAAGAAUUUAUGAUCUUUGGCUUUCCUGGGAAUAGCAAUCUGAUUUGAUUUAACUCAGCGCAACAAAUAUUUCAUGAGUGCCUACUGUGUGCAGCAUGCUGGGGAUUUGGCUUAAAGGACAGAGGUUAAGAGUACAGGCUCUGGACUAGACCACCUGCAUCGGCCUCUGGAACUUACGGGACGUGCACUGUAUGCCAAGGACUCCCUAAGCAAAGCUUUGGACCUUCAUCUGACUGCCCGGUGCUCUCAGAAGUGAUGACUUGCAGAUGAGACAUCAUACCUCCACGCCUACCCUCAGGACUCAGCGACUUGGACUGUUCCACUCUCCUUGGCUGGAGAACCCAACCCUGUGGCCUGGCCCACCUGGACAUAUGUUCUUCUGCCACCCAAGGGCUCCCAACAUGGUCAGGCCGACUAUGACCAACUCAAAGCUAAGCACCUAAAACACCAACUUUCCCAAAAGGCCGUCAAGGCCAGGUUACUUCACCCUCCCCUUCCCAGCUGCCACCACCAUCUUUCCUCAACUGUUCACAGAUUUUCAGACCUGUAAAGUUGGAUCUGUCUCUGCAGCUCCAGGGAGAGUGACCAUUUCCCCUUUCUGUCCUCCUUGGGCUUUGCUCUUUUGUGGGGUCCUGGUGUUUGAGAGCAGAACCAUAUCUGGGGCCCCCCUUUUCCUGGAAGUAAAGUUCUAUUCUCCAG